rnacentral:rRNA from 1 species
GGAAGGCCUUUGGGUUGUAAACCUCUUUUCUCAGGGAAGAAGAUCUGACGGUACCUGAGGAAUAAGCAUCGGCUAACUCCGUGCCAGCAGCCGCGGUAAUACGGAGGAUGCAAGCGUUAUCCGGAAUUAUUGGGCGUAAAGCGUCCGCAGGUGGUCUUUCAAGUCUGCUGUCAAAGACCAGAGCUUAACUCUGGGCAGGCGGUGGAAACUGAGAGACUAGAGUUCGGUAGGGGUAGCGGGAAUUCCC